AGCUCAGAGGUGUUUUACAUGCCGGAUUGCAAAUCCGGAGUAGUCGGUUAGCGCCGACCUGGGCUU
rnacentral:tRNA from 1 species